rnacentral:rRNA from 1 species
AUUGAACGCUGGCGGCAGGCUUAACACAUGCAAGUCGAGCGAGCGGCGGACGGGUGAGUAAUGUCUGGGAAACUGCCUGAUGGAGGGGGAUAACUACUGGAAACGGUAGCUAAUACCGCAUACCAUCAGAUGUGCCCAGAUGUGAUUAGCUAGUAGGGGGGGUAAUGGCUCACCAAGGCGAAGAUCCCUAGCUGGGCGUCGAGGAUGACCAGCGACACUGGAACUGAGACACGGUACAGACUACUACGGGAGGCAGCAGUGGGGAAUAUUGCACAAUGGGCGCAAGCCUGAUGCAGCCAUGCCGCGGUUGUGAAGAAGGCCUGCGGGUUGUAAAGCACUUUCAGCGAGGAGGCGUGACUCGCAGAAGAAGCACCGGCUAACUCCGUGCCAGCAGCCGCGGUAAUAC